CUGUAAGCCUGCGAAGGUGUGCUGUGAGGCAUGCUGGAGGUAUCAGAAGUGCGAAUGCUGACAUAAGUAACGAUAAAGCGGGUGAAAAGCCCGCUCGCCGGAAGACCAAGGGUUCCUGUCCAACGUUAAUCGGGGCAGGGUGAGUCGACCCCUAAGGCGAGGCCGAAAGGCGUAGUCGAUGGGAAACAGGUUAAUAUUCCUGUACUUGGUGUUACUGCGAAGGGGGGACGGAGAAGGCUAUGUUGGCCGGGCGACGGUUGUCCCGGUUUAAGCGUGUAGGCUGGUUUUCCAGGCAAAUCCGGAAAAUCAAGGCUGAGGCGUGAUGACGAGGCACUACGGUGCUGAAGCAACAAAUGCCCUGCUUCCAGGAAAAGCCUCUAAGCAUCAGGUAACAUCAAAUCGUACCCCAAACCGACACAGGUGGUCAGGUAGAGAAUACCAAGGCGCUUGAGAGAACUCGGGUGAAGGAACUAGGCAAAAUGGUGCCGUAACUUCGGGAGAA
rnacentral:rRNA from 1 species